rnacentral:lncRNA from 1 species
UGAGACCCUGUUGAAAGGACCAGCAAACAUCCGAUUUCCUCAGAUAUAAUCUCAGAUUAAUGGAGUUGUGGAACAGAUUAAACUCGUCUCACUAAGAUCAGAACAGCUGAGCAUCACAUACCAAGAGUGACAGCCAGUUUAAAAAAAGAGAGAGAGAGCUGCAAAGUUUGGAUCUUUUCCUGCCUUAGAAGCAAGAAAAAUGGAAAAUUGAUAAUUAAAGGAGAAACCUUCAUACCUCCCUCGCUGCUUUGAGCACAGAUUUCAUCCUUACCUGCCUAUCAUUGCUCAACUGACACUGCAGAUUUUAUAAUUACCAGUUAUCUCUCAGUGAUUCACU